rnacentral:rRNA from 1 species
AAAGUCGUAACAAGGUUUCCGUAGGUGAACCUGCGGAAGGAUCAUUAUUGAAAACAUUGUAAAGGAGGUUUUGAGCUGGCUCUUCUUAGGGGCAUGUGCUCGCCGACUUUCAAUCUUCAUCCACCUGUGAACCUUUUGUAGUGGAUUCUGGAACGGGGAGGCGCUUGCGUUUUCUCAGUACGGAGUCUCACUAUGUUUUAACACACACUUAAUGUAUGUUUAGAAUGUGUAUUUUAUUGGGACUUAAUUGACCCUUUAAAAACUAUACAACUUUCAGCAACGGAUCUCUUGGCUCUCGCAUCGAUGAAGAACGCAGCGAAAUGCGAUAAGUAAUGUGAAUUGCAGAAUUCAGUGAAUCAUCGAAUCUUUGAACGCACCUUGCGCCUCUUGGUAUUCCGAGAGGCAUGCCUGUUUGAGUGUCAUUAAAUUCUCAACCUCAAAAAAGCUUUUUCGGCUUUGUUUGAGGAUUGGAUGUGAGGGUUGCUGGCUUUUGAAUAAAGAGUCGGCUCCCUUGAAAUGCAUUAGUGGAAACCGGUUGGUAGACCACAUUGGUGUGAUAAUUAUCUACGCCAUUAGUCUACGUUUUUUCGAAUGUUGGCCUAGCUAACACUUCGGUUUGGGGGGCUUGCAAGUUUGUAAUGAACCUGCUCUCUCUGUUAUUGAACGGUAUCUGCUUCAAACUGUCCUAAGUUUAUUGGACAACAAUUAGAUCAUUUUGACCUCAAAUCACGUAGGACUACCCGCUGAACUUA